GUCAUUUCUUAUGAGUUUUGUUUUUGCUUUCUAUGUUUGUUGUUUAUUAUUUUUGCUGCGUGUUAUGUUUCCUGUAUUUUUUCUCCUUCUGUGAUGAUUACUUGUGUUCUGUGACGAUUUCUUGUGUUCUGUGAUGAUUUCUGUAUCUAUGUUUUAUUUUGUUUGUAUGCUGUGUUUUCUUCGGAAUGUGUUGUGUUUUCAUCAGAAUGGAGGAGGUUGCGGCCAGCAGGAGGAGGGCAACAAAACAGAGCAUGUGGUGGAGAAUGUCAUCAAACUUGCUUUUGAGUCAUGGGAGACGAGGAAGAAGUGUGGAAUCUGCUUUAAAUCUCUGUUUGAUUUGGAGUCAUCGUCAAAAUAUUUCUCUAAAGGAAUUCUGUAGUUGAAGUACCAUUCAUUGCCUGAAGGAAUCAUUCAUGCAAUGCAUUAUUUUAAGAGACCCGCUGAAAAGGUUCGGGCAGCCAGUAAAAGUUAAAAACUUGACAAUGUAAUCGAAUAUUUUCUGUUGUCCCACUAGUUUAGGUGCCUUAACCAGAGUGGUUUUGAAGUAAGUGUAACUAAGACCAUCACCAAAAUUAUAGGUAGUUGGUCCAGUGUAGAAUCUGUAAGUUCGGGGACUUGCCCUCAUGUUCAUAACAGUUAUGGGAACUUUAACAAAUUCUUGUGGAUACCAGGCCAUAGGUAAUCUCCCACCUGAAACAGAGAGAAAACAAGUAUCAGCUAGCAAUCUUGUGUACUCGCAUAAUUAUGCCACUGACUUUAUAUAACUUGUAGAAGAAUAAGAGUACUGUUAAUUAAUAAAAUUGAUCCCCGAUUUUCCCAAUUUUGAAUAUUUUAGAAACAUUUGAUGUGGGUUUAUUUUCAAUUCAGCCAACACUUAAGAAGGGUAGUUUAUCAAUCAAACCUUGAUGCUAUAUAAGUUCAUCUGUAAAUUUUCCGAGUCAUAUGGUGUUUACUGAGUGAUCUUAGCACUGGUCAGAGGAACAAUAAACAAUUUUUUUUGGAUAGGUAAUGGGUCGAAGCCGAUAAGGUGUACAUACCCUAUCCCUUUUGUGGGAUUUGAACUCAUGACCUCUAAUUCAAGAGCACAAGUUCUCCACCACUAGACCAACUCAAGUUGUACAGAGGAACAAUAAAGUAUAAACAAUUACUAAGACAGAUUUUACCUAGAUUAUAUGAAAAUUACAUCUGCAAUCGCUGCUCCUCCAGCUUGUCCAGGAUAACCCAAAGGAUUCCUGCAACUUUGUCAUUAUUCUUUGCAAAGAAUAUAUUGAAAGAACCCCUUGACAUUAUCACAAGAAUUACAGGCCCCUUAGCUGCAUUUGCAACCAGGGAUACAAGCUCUUGUUGAUACACUUGCAACAACAAACUUGUUCUGUCUAGCCCCUCAAUCUCUAAUGUAAAUGAUAGAUGUUGAACUGGAGCAGCUACUCGAGUCCUCGCCUACUACUGGCACUGUUGCAUCUGCUCAUUUUGCUGCAGCCAGCAAACCAUUCCCACCUCAUAACAUAUUUGGACGGCCUGGGGCAAAAAGGGUUGCAGUGUAUCUUGGAUGCCCGUCGAGGGAUGAUGUAUACUUUCGUAGAAUACCUGACCACACUGACCAAGUUAGUAAGUCUUGAAGGACCUAAACAGAACACAGAGCAAAAUCAAUGUUGUGCCUUUCCCAGUCGAUAAACUAAAAGCUUCUUUAAGAAGGCUAAAAUUUGUUUUCGAAAACAGGAUAAAAAGGAAAUUGAGGCAGCAGAGCCAUAAAUGGCGACCAUGACUAUCAAGGGCAAUCCGGCAAUAAUGUACUCAUUUGCAGAGACAAACUGUACCACACCCAAUUCUUCACCAAGUCCCCUCAUUUGCAACAGAUAGUUGAGCAUAAGUUCUAACACUUCUUAUAUAGAUGUUGUUCCUGUAAUUGUGCUACAUUUACCAUAGUUUGGUCCCCUGAAUAGUCACUCUCAUGAAUGGGUGCAUAGUUACCAAUCAUGGCAUUGGUGGCAUUUGCAUUGGGUCCAAUAACGACCAAGCUCUGACCGAAUCCCCAGCCUAUAUUAGCCAACGGCAAUGCACCAGUAAUUCUGAGCAGCACUAUCCAAAGCUUUGUUCUUGAUUGCCCUCGGUACACACAUCUUUAGGCACCAGGUUCCCAAAUGGCUAUUUGGUAGCAUCCCCAUCAAACCAACCUAGCCUCAUCAACGUUGUGAAGGUGUUGGUCAGAGAUUCGGCCACUUCACCUGCUUUCACAACAGAUCUUAUGCAUCUUCCAAGGAAUGGUCCACAGUCCAGAUCCAAUCCUGCAUUAAUUUCCACAAUGAAAUAACAGUCACAAAUUGAACUUUUUGACACCAGCAUUUUUGGUUGAGAUUGCCCAACAAAAUAAUACUGCCAUUAGUGAUGUAUAAUUUUUGGUUGAGAUUGCUCAAUCACACACACAUUUAGUUUCUGGUUGAGAUUGCCCAAUCAUAUAAGAAAAGUAAUUAUGAAAUUCAAGCAUAUGCUAGUGCAUCUGAUUUCAGAAAGGAAAGAAUAAAUUGCUGAGCGUUUCUUCGAAUAAGACCUGAGAAUUAUUUGCCCACAAUAACAAUGCCCAAUGGAAUGUUUGUUCAUUGUUCUUUGUUUCUUUACAUCUUAUUUGCAUUGUUAUGCUGCAUAUGAGGACUUGUCACUGUAGCACUAAUUUCAGUAGUUACAUCGGAAGUGAAAACUGAAAUAAAUACAGAUAACUACAGAAUGAGUUGGUAAGCAGAAUCGCAAAUGGGAUGGUAGAAGCUUAAAGAUGAAACAUGUUUUCAAAUUCCAAUUGAUAGGUUUCCAAACAUUGAGCUGCUGUCAUUAACUACAUUAUUUUUCACUGCAAAUAGUACUUUUGGUGUAGUUUCCAAUGGUAUAGAGAAAGUUAAGUGAAGAUGAUAAGCAGGGCAGAGUAGAAAAUGGUUCUAUGGAAGAUCAGAGACAGAUUUAAACUUUAAGCAUGUUACUUGUUUUUACUUUUUCGAUAUUUUUACUAACAAAUUGAGUGUAUUAUUGUUAAUAUUAUAGAUGACACAUUCAGAACAUGGAGAUAAGUGCUUAACACACUAUAUACUACUUGUAAUGCCUGUUUAUAAAAUGCACAUCAGUAGCAGGUUUAAAAUAAACUUUUGGUGUACAAUGGUGAAUGCAUAUGGAGCAGCCACUAGAGCAUAUUUUAUAGAGAAAUAAGUCACUAAGAUGUUGAAUUUAGAUGAAAUCCUAAGAAUGUGGUGUAAAUAAGUUUAAAAUGCAGUUUUUAGUGCAUUAUAGUGGAGCAUAUGUGAGCAGCUACUAGAGUGUAUUGUACAUUUGAUUCAAGUCAUUGAAGGGUUAAAUGUAGGUUAACUUUUGCUAAUGGACUGUGUAAAUAGAUUUAUUGUUUAAUAAAAUAUAUUUUUAUUGGU